rnacentral:rRNA from 1 species
GAAUAUUGGACAAUGGGGGCAACCCUGAUCCAGCGAUGCCGUGUGGGUGAAGAAGGCCUUCGGGUUGUAAGGCCCUUUAGGCUGGGAAGAAGGAUGCGGGGUGAAUAAUCCUGUAUUUUGACGGUACCAGCAGAAUAAGCACCGGCAACCUCUGUGCCAGCAGCCGCGGUAAUACAGAGGGUGCGAGCGUUAAUCGGAUUUACUGGGCGUAAAGGGCGCGUAGGCGGUCAUGUGAGUGUGGUGUGAAAGCCCCGGGCUUAACCUGGGAAGUGCAUCGCAAACGACAUGACUGGAGUAGAUGAGAGGGUGGCGGAAUUUCCGGUGUAGCGGUGAAAUGCGUAGAGAUCGGAAGGAACGUCAAUGGCGAAGGCAGCCACCUGGCAUCAUACUGACGCUGAGGCGCGAAAGCGUGGGGAGCGAACAGG